rnacentral:lncRNA from 1 species
UAAAACUUGGAGGUAUUGUCCAACUGACUGUAACCCCGCUGACUAUCUUACGCGCGGCAUGUCUUCAUCUAAGUUUUUGAAUAAUGAUACUUGGUUCAACGGACCGAAAUGGCUUGCACAUGAAGAACAAUGGCCGCAUUGGGAUCGAAAUUCCGUUGCUAUGACAACAAUUACAGAUAAUGAAAGUAAAGACACAGACCGGCAAAUUCAACAAAAUGAUGACAGAUUCACAGUUGUAAAGGAAGUCAUCAAUAUAGAGAAGCACAGCAGUUAUCCGAAACUGCUUCGUAUAAUGUCUUACGUAUUGCGCUUUAUAGCGAAUUGCAGAACACUUUCACAAAACAGGAAAUACCAACAUUUAAAGGUAGACGAGAUUCAAAAUGCUUCACUCGUGUUGAUACGGAACGUACAGCAAACUAUUUUUAUGAAUGAGAUCCGCAAUAUUGUUUCAAAGGAUACUAAUCGACUACCUAUUGUACGACAGUUACGGUUAUAUAUCGACGAAAAGGGACUACUACGUUCCGGCGGAAGAAUUGAUAAUGCGCUCGUUAGCGAAACAGUGAAAUACCCUUAUUUACUUCCGACAAAACACCCAUUGACAACAUUAAUUAUUUUGGACGCACA